rnacentral:rRNA from 1 species
CCUACGGGAGGCAGCAGUGGGGAAUAUUGGACAAUGGGCGCAAGCCUGAUCCAGCCAUACCGCGUGGGUGAAGAAGGCCUUCGGGUUGUAAAGCCCUUUUGUUGGGAAAGAAAUCCAGCCGGCUAAUACCUGGUUGGGAUGACGGUACCCAAAGAAUAAGCACCGGCUAACUUCGUGCCAGCAGCCGCGGUAAUACGAAGGGUGCAAGCGUUACUCGGAAUUACUGGGCGUAAAGCGUGCGUAGGUGGUUAUUUAAGUCCGUUGUGAAAGCCCUGGGCUCAACCUGGGAACUGCAGUGGAUACUGGAUGACUAGAAUGUGGUAGAGGGUAGCGGAAUUCCUGGUGUAGCAGUGAAAUGCGUAGAGAUCAGGAGGAACAUCCAUGGCGAAGGCAGCUACCUGGACCAACAUUGACACUGAGGCACGAAAGCGUGGGGAGCAAACAGGAUUAGAUACCCUGGUAGUCCACGCCCUAAACGAUGCGAACUGGAUGUUGGGUGCAAUUUGGCACGCAGUAUCGAAGCUAACGCGUUAAGUUCGCCGCCUGGGGGNGGUACGGUCGGUCGAGACGUUAGUAACGUUACGAAAGGAAGUUAGACGGCGUGAGACGNGCCGACGGACGACGACGAGGGAGGAGG